rnacentral:rRNA from 1 species
AUACGGAGGGGGUUAGCGUUGUUCGGAAUUACUGGGCGUAAAGCGCACGUAGGCGGACUGGAAAGUUGGGGGUGAAAUCCCGGGGCUCAACCCCGGAACUGCCUCCAAAACUUCCAAUCUAGAGAUCGGGAGAGGUAAGUGGAAUUCCUAGUGUAGAGGUGAAAUUCGUAGAUAUUAGGAGGAACACCAGUGGCGAAGGCGGCUUACUGGCUCGAUACUGACGCUGAGGUGCGAAAGCGUGGGGAGCAAACAGGAUUAGAAACCCUAGUAGUCC